rnacentral:rRNA from 1 species
GCUUAACCGGAGAAGUGCAUCGGAAACUGGGAGACUUGAGUGCAGAAGAGGACAGUGGAACUCCAUGUGUAGCGGUGGGAUGCGUAGAUAUAUGGAAGAACACCAGUGGCGAAGGCGGCUGUCUAGUCUGUAACUGACGCUGAGGCUCGAAAGCAUGGGCAGCAAACAGGAUUAGAUACCCUGGUAGUCCAUGCCGUAAACGAUGAGUGCUAGGUGUUGGAGGGUUUCCGCCCUUCAGUGCCGCAGCUAACGCAUUAAGCACUCCGCCUGGGGAGUACGACCGCAAGGUUGAAACUCAAAGGAAUUGACGGGGGCCCGCACAAGCGGUGGAGCAUGUGGUUUAAUUCGAAGCUACGCGAAGAACCUUACCAGGUCUUGACAUCUUCUGCCAAUCUUAGAGAUAAGACGUUCCCUUCGGGGACAGAAUGACAGGUGGUGCAUGGUUGUCGUCAGCUCGUGUCGUGAGAUGUUGGGUUAAGUCCCGCAACGAGCGCAACCCUUAUUAUCAGUUGCCAGCAUUAAGUUGGGCACUCUGGUGAGGCUGCCGGUGACAAACCGGAGGAAGGUGGGGAUGACGUCAAAUCAUCAUGCCCCUUAUGACCUGGGCUACACACGUGCUACAAUGGACGGUACAACG